rnacentral:lncRNA from 1 species
GGUGUUGGACUGAAACACAGUUGUGGGGAUUUUGAAUAGAGUUGUUGGGGGAGUUGAGGAGUAGUGGGGGGGAGAGAUUCAAGGAGGGAUAAGGGAAGGGAUUUGAGGAGAAAAUUUAGGAGUGGGUUGAGAGGAGAGUUGUGUCGUUUGGGGAGUUUUCAGCUUGGGAAAUUUGGCUGGGGUUAGGUUGUGCCGAAUUUGAUCUUAGGCAUUUUGGGUAAUCGGUGUUUUGUGUUGUUUUUUCUGCUUGUCUUGGUUUUGGUCAGUUUCGUUUUGCAACUAUCGAUUUUUGGUGUUGAAUUUUGGCAAGUUUCUUCUCG